rnacentral:rRNA from 1 species
GACGGACGCUGGCGGCGUGCUUAACACAUGCAAGUCGAACGGAAAGGCCCUGCUUUUGUGGGGUGCUCGAGUGGCGAACGGGUGAGUAACACGUGAGUAACCUGCCCUUGACUUUGGGAUAACUUGAGGAAACUGGGGCUAAUACCGGAUAGGAGCUCCUGCUGCAUGGUGGGGGUUGGAAAGUUUCGGCGGUUGGGGAUGGACUCGCGGCUUAUCAGCUUGUUGGUGGGGUAGUGGCUUACCAAGGCUUUGACGGGUAGCCGGCCUGAGAGGGUGACCGGCCACAUUGGGACUGAGAUACGGCCCAGACUCCUACGGGAGGCAGCAGUGGGGAAUAUUGCACAAUGGGCGGAAGCCUGAUGCAGCAACGCCGCGUGCGGGAUGACGGCCUUCGGGUUGUAAACCGCUUUCGCCUGUGACGAAGCGUGAGUGACGGUAAUGGGUAAAGAAGCACCGGCUAACUACGUG